UAGACCCCAGGUCCUUCUGCUUCCCAGGCCCAUGCUCUAUCCACUAAGCCACACUGCUUCUCAGCACUUAGCCAAGUGAACGUCCUACUUUCCAUCACCCACAUUCACCAGCUGUAGGAAAGCCAGGAUCAGAAUUUAGGUCUCCCGAUUCCCAGAGCAGGACUGAUUCUAUUGGAUCCAAAGCAGGACACUAGUCAUUGCCUUGGGCGGUAGGUAUUUUAAAGGGCCCUUGAAAGGUCUCGACUCAUUUGCAAGUUAAGUAGCUCUUGUAAGAAGCAUACAGUAACCUGUGAUGACCUCAGUGCAUUUGCUAUCAUUUUAAGGCAAGAAGUAGUAACGGGCCGAGUAGUUACUAGCACAUCGUACAUGCCACUGAGGUAAUAGUUGAUCAUGACUUUUCUCAAAACACAGCUUUCAUUUCAGGAAUGUUUACUGUGAGUAAACUGAAAUGUAUUUUUAGGUGAGGUUAUGUUUGUUGACAAGGCACUGUUCUGAGAAAUUAAGUGCAUUCAUGAAUUUUUUUUUAAUUUUUAAAUGCAAGUGAGCUAGUAUAUCCAAUCUCAUGUUUACAAACCUAUAAUUAAGCCCCAGUUGCUUCUUUCAAUCUAAUUUGUUUUUCUUUCUAUUGUUCAAAAAUGGUUUGUUUUUCACUCCCAGCAAAAUGAAUGCGCGAUUGCUCUUCAUUCAUUCAAUCGACUUCAAACAAUAGGGGCCCAGCCUUCAAAGGAAACACAGCAGAGUAAUGUGCUAACUAAUGCUAGUAAGGCCAUAACAAACUUUAGUGAAAAAUGUCCUCAGCCUGGUAGUGAGACUGUUCAGACUCCUGUGGAGGUGGAACUGAGGUUAAGAGUCUGCAAAGGAAGUAGGAAACUUAACCUAGCAUCCCCUCCUGCCUGGGAAAUGUAUUUCCUGGAAGGGAGGGGCCUCUCUUUCCAGAAUCACCUGUGGAUGAUUGCUUGUCAGACAGCGGCGUGCAGCCUUUUAAAUUCAAGAGUUAGAUACCCUGCUUUCUUCUCUCUCUCGGGACAUAGUGAGUGUUCUGGCCCGUUUCUGUUUGAGACAUUGGUCCAGAAGUUUCACUGAAGGUGUUGGAAGAUCUAUUUUCCAUAAGAAAUAGCUGCUGUCUAUAGGACCAAGAUGGCUUAUUCAGCUGAGAUACGGCUGGGAGCACGGUAUGGAAGCAGCCAGCCAUCUAUUCAAGUGCAAGGCAGUAGGGAGAUAAUGAAAUUGGACCCAGCACUCUGAAGCACAGACGGUAACUGCAGUGUGGAGCAGCACACCCACAGAGACACACACAGAAGCUACAAUAACACUUGUGACAUCACCCAGACCUUCCUCUUCUGUCUGCAGCGGGUGGCAGCUGCUCGGUUCCUUUCCAGAAAUUUCCGCCGCCUCUCAUCUGGGUCCUCGUCCACUACCCUUCUCCGGCGUCCCCCGGUUCAAGGGGUCCCUGAAUCGGCUAGCUGAGCUCACUGCUUCUGCCUCAGCACAGCCCACCACUCUGGACAUCAAAGUUCUCUACCCUCCAUGCCCUCACCCUCUCUCCGUGAUGCAAACACCGCACCUCGUGAGACUUCUCAGUUCUGUUAUUUAUGUCUGGACAUCUAAUGCUUUCCUAAUAUAUUGCUUUGAAUGAAGAAAAGGGUAGAGGAGAGAAGAAGUUUUUUUUCCCCAUUUCUCCAUCACCAGGUUUAUAUACUAUAAAGCUGCUUUUAUGGGGACACUUAACUUGCAGGAGCAGCAGGCAAAAUACUUUAGAAGCAAAACUCAAUUUCCCAUUUCUAACCUGUCUCAACAUUUUGGUCAGGAUCAAUCAGAAUGUCUUUAAUUAUGUUAAUUGUGGUUGCCGAUUCACUUUAUAAGGGGUGGUAUACUAAAGAUGUAUUUCAACCUUAAACUCUAUCCAAUUUUAUGUGGACGACUGGACAGUAAUUAGUCUCCAAGUGGUAUUUUACAGGUGAUUGUAAGUGGGUGUGAUUUCUUUUAUUUAAAGCUAAGGGCUUUCUUCACUCAUGUAAGAAAACAAAAUUAAUGGUCCAACGCACUACUAGAACUUAGUCGUCAGUGUGGCUGGUGAGGUAGGAACCCGUUUCAGUGGGAAAGAUUUAGCAGUUGUCACUUUAGAUGCCUAGUACUUGAGCCAAACCAACUAUUCCAAAGCAAAACAUCAGUUUCGCCAGAAGAGAACAAACUGAACUGCUCUUUUUUUUUUUUUUUUGCCUCCAUACAGUACAUUUUGCAAAAUAAAUUAUGGUCUUAUAUGUGCACAUUCAGCACCUCGCAAAGCCUUGAGAAACUAACUGCAGACACAAACCCGAAUCAGCUCCCCAGAUCUUAUUAGUCCACAUUUUAGUCCUUACAUCUAAACGCUCAGCUGCUGCCCACAAUUUUGAAAUCCAUCUGAUUCUGCUGGGCCACAGGAAUGAACACACAUAUACUGAUUAACCCUAAGGGGAAAGAGAAAGCGUCCUGGAGCAUCUCCAUUCCUUGCUUGAGAAGCUUUGGGCUAGAAACGUUUAGCAGCUCAGCAGAGUGAGAAUACUUGUGGGUAACCACACACAGUAUGGGGAACCGACUUACCCUGCCCCUUCCCCUGAAACCUACCCAGAGGGUAACAGCAAGGAGGAUUAUGAAUGAACGUGGAAGGGAAAUAACUUCACAUUUUGGUCCAAGACAACUGAGACUCUUGUCCCCAUACAUGGCUUUUCCAGGGCUUUGGGCAAUUCUGAAGGGUAUCAGAAAAAUGUUGUUUUCUCCUCCAAAGAGAAUCAUUGUGCCUAUAGGUAAGUUAAUACUACUUAACCGGUCUUUUUCAGAGUUCCAAAGGCAUCCGAGCUAUGGGGCUAGGGCCCCAGGGUUGAAGACUAGAAAUUAAGUCUAUUCUAGAAGCCCAGGGAAGUUGGCUUCCUCUGAUGACAGGAGGGUCGGUGUGCCACUAAUGACUUCUGAAUCAAGUGGGAAAUUUCAUUCAAAAUCUAAGCAAAUGAAAACAAAGGCCAUUGAAUGGGAUCAGACCUCCAAUCUCCUAACCCACUUUUCUAAUGGUCAUGGCGAAUCUUCAGCCAAUUUGUAUUUUAAAGAUAAGGCAUUUGCAUCAAUGGAGAGAAAAACUCAUAUUGGCUAAGGAGAUAAAUGAAAUAGGAUAUGACAGGUUCUUACUAAGUGGUCCAGUUAAUAAUGUAAGAGUUAUAUUUUGGGAUGUCUUCCAAAUCAUCUUACUGGUCAAAUUUUCAAAAGACCUUUGCCCAGAGUCCUUUUAUUUGUGCAGGUGCAAAAAAUUCUGCAUGCAACUAAUUGUACUAGCAAUUAGCUAAUUGCAUAUACAAUUGGCCACUUACUUUCCCCUUUAAAAUACAGGGCAAUUGGCUAAUGGCUAAUUAGUUAAUGAACCUUCUUUACUAUUCAAAGAACUGUUAGAACUGUUAAAUUUGUUUGUGAAAUGUCUGCUCCCAAAACCACCAUUUUCCACUUAUUUUAAAAAAUCUUAAUUUUGUCUCAUAUUAGUCAUGAUAUUCCUGACUUUGCUUUAGUCUGAAUUCAAUCCUUUAGCCAGAAAUCAUGAUUUAUCCUUUAUCUCCAACUUGCAUUUUUUUUCCACUAGCUGUAAUGCUGGUCAGACUUGACACUUUACCUUGGCAUCUGCUAACUUGUGAUGCUUUCAACACUUCCCAUUGGAAGUACAGAUUUGGUCUUCCCAGCUUCUACCCUUUAAAAACAGUGGCUAAGUUUUAUCCAGUAUGUCCCUAGUCAAGCCAACAAGCAACAGAACCAGCCACUUGCUAGAGACAUUGUUUUAGGAUGUCCCUGUAAGUUUUGAGAGUAGAAUGGGGAGAAGAUCAAAGAAUCAAAAGCUCUUCUAGGAUCCAGGGUGGAGCAGUGAAUGCCAGACCAACAUUUUUUACCAGACUUCCAGACCAUCACCAGUAUCCCCCAGCCAAGUCAGACCUAGAAAUGGGAUGAAUGAGGUUUGGCAUUAAAAACCUUUUUGGGACACAAAAUGGUUAGGGCUGGUUAUGGCCCAGCACUUUUCCUGAUUCCCUCUUCAUUCUGAAUCUAAUUAAGAAGAGCCUGUUAGCUUUUAAAGUAUACCAUGGAUGGCAUGGAUCAAUCACCCUGCCCAAUUUACUGUCUGUGAUUGGGUCACAUGUCUACCUUGUUCCCUUCUUCCCCUCUUGGGUUAAGCUUGAAUUGUGGCUUUUCCCAUUCUCACAGAUCUGCAAUAGGAGGUUAAUCUUUCACCAGACUGUCUCAUUGUCAAGAUUCUCUCUCUCUCUCUCUCACACACACACACAUUCUCACUCUCUUCCCUUUCUGGCCUUUAGAUUUUUAGUGUUCAUUGGUAUGAUGUAUCUGCUCAAUUUUACUUACUUACUUAAUUGUACUUACUUACAAUUUGUUUGUUUUUUUUUACUUCCUGAACCCAAUUCUCCACGUGCACUGUGGUCUUUAAAUUCCCUCUGUCCCUAGAGAGCACUCAUUUCUGACUCCCAGUUACUGAUCUAAUUCAGAAAACCCACCCUGUUGGGGUUACCAUGAGGGCUAACUCAAUAGCAUACUUGA